GUUAUGUGAUCUAGUUUCGUGCAUAUGAGAAUUUGACAUGAUUAAUUCAGAAGAAAGCUCUGGAAGCAAGACUUGGUAAAUCUUUUUCAACUUAGUCGAUGUUAAGCAAGAUCUAUUCUAUUUGUUUUUAUACUCAUUCUGCUUUUUCUUGUUGAACAGUUUUACUUCCCUACUAUAAAAUCAAACCACUGGAUUAUACUUUCCAUCAACUCUCUCUUUGAGAGAUCUCACUUUUUUGAUCCCUGUGGCACCAUUCUGGGAACUACCCAAGAAGAACUUGUCUACAACUUGGCAUGACUCAGGCCACUAUCUGCCUUCGUACAU